UAAACAUAUAGGUAAGCUGGAAACUAGUUAAGCUAUUCAGGACCACUAUUAGAAAAUUUACAAAAGAUUAUUGAGGAAAAUUGAAGAUAAUUUUAAAAAAUAGAUAAUUGUAUCAUAUUCAUAUAUUGAAAGAUGUUAAUUCUCCCUAAACUGAUCUGUAGAUUCAAUGCAAUCCCAAUCAAAAUCUCAAUAGAUAUUUUAUGCGUGCAUAUAUUAACAAGUUGAUCCUAAAAUUUAUACUGAAAUGCAUAUAGCCACGAAUAGCCAAGAAAAUAUUGAGAAAGAAUGAUAAAAUACAAGUACCAGCUCUACCUGAUAUGAAGACAUUAAUUGCUAUAUUUAAGACAUUGUGGUAAUGGUGACAUGUUAGAUAAAUGAGCCAAAAUAAUAAAAUGGAGAAUUCAGAAACCUACCAAUACAUAUAUAAAAACUUGAUAUAUUAUAAAGUUGGCACUACUGGACAAUGAAAAAAGCAGAAAACAUCUUUACAAUAAAUAGUACUGGGUCAAUUGGAUAUGCAUAUAGAAUAAAAUUAAUACUGAUUCUUUUUUAUAUCAUCUAUGAAAAUCAAUUCUGUGUAGAUUUUAGAUGUAAAUAGUAAAGCUACAAUGCAGAAAAACAUCUUCACGAUCUCAGAGUAAGCAAAGAUUUCCUAAACAGAAUUCAGAAAGCACUUACCAUAAAGUAAAAGUUUAGCAAAUUGGACUACAUCAAAAUUAGUAACAUCCUUCCCCCCCCGCCACAGACACCAUCAUAAAGCGAGAAGGCAAGCCACAUGAUGGGAGAAGAUAUUUGCAGUAAAUAUAACAACAAAGAACUCAAUGUAAAAUAUAUAAAGAACUCUUACAAAUCAAUAAGAAAAAGCCAGAAGUCCCAGUAGAAACAUGGUCAAAAGAUAUUAGUGGGUAGUUUACACAUUGGAUAUUCAAAUGUCCUCUAAACAAGAAAAGGUGAUUAAUUUCAUUAGUCAUCAAGAAAGGCACAUUAUAACCGCAAUGACUUACCUCUAUAUACCCAUCACAAUGGCUAAUAUUUAAAAAGCAAAAACCACUAGUACUAAUAAUUGGUAAGGAUGUGAAGUAACUAGACCUCUCAUGCGUAGCUUAUGGAAGUGUAAAUUAUUACAAUCACUCAGGAAAACUAUCUGGCAUUCUUUACUGAGGUUGAAGAUAGGCUUAUCCUGUGAGCAAUUUUACUCUUAAGUAUAUGCCUAACAGAAAUAUAUGUACCUGUGUACCACAAGGCUGACACACAAGUGUCCCUAGCAACAUCAUUCAUGUUGGCCAAAAAUUGGAGACAAACCACAUGUCUAUCAACAGCAGAAUGAAUAAUAAAUUGUGGAAUAUUCACAUAAUGGAAUGCUAUCUGGCAAUGAAAUUGAACGAACCAAAGUAACACAACAGAGUGGAUCCGUCUCACGAUGCUGCACAAAAGACAUCAAAUGCAAGAAGAUGCGUUCCUUUGUGUCCUGUAUGAUUCAAUUUAUAUACAACUCAAAAAAGCAGGCAAACUGCUAUAGUGUUUAGGAAUGCACACUUAGGUGAUAUAGCUAUAAAUAAAAUAAGGAAGAGGUUAUAAAAUUUACUCGUGGUGGAGAGGGAAAGAUUAGUAAUAGGGAGGGGAUAUGAGGGGAUAUGAGGGAUCAGUGACGGGGAGGGGAUAUUAGAGUGUGUUUUUUUGUUCUGGCUACAUGGGUAUUCAAAAUAAAUCUGUAGUAAUAUACUGAGCCAUACAUUUUUGCUUUGUACACUUUUCUGUAUGGAUGUUGUCAAUCUUGGGUUUAUGUUCAGCAGCUCCUGCUGAACCUCUGUGGAAGAGCGAUGGGUGCAAAUACUAUGGAACAGGAAGCAAUAUAUGAGUCCAUUCUUAUGCCCCAUGAGGGAUCCACUCUCAGCCUCUCCAAGGAGGAAGUGACUCUUUUCACCAAACAAGGCUUGAAACCCUGGCCCAUCUCCAGACCUCGGAAGAAAACGGACUCUUCCAGUCAACAAAACCAUCAUCAUUUGCUUCAGUGGCUACCCCUAAGGAGGAGAGGGGAAUGAGGAACCCGGGCUGGGGAGACUGACUUUCCUGGUGGUUUCUUACUAUAAGCAUAUAUUACAGUCAUUGAAAAAAAUUUUUUUAGACAUGGUCUUUUUCUGUCACCCAGGCUGGAUUGCAGUGGGUUGAUCUUAAGCUCACUGCAGCCUCAAACUUCUGGGCUCAAGUGAUCCUCCUUCCUCAGCCUCCUGAGUAGCUGGGACUACAGGCAUGUGCCAGGCACCCACCUAAUUUUUUGUAGAGAUGGGAUCUUGCUUUGUUUCCCAGGCUGGUCUCAAACUCCUGGCCUCAAGAAAUCCUCCGGCCUUGGCCUCCUGAAAUGCUGAGAUUACAGGAGUGAGACACUGCAUCCAGUCUGAGGAGAGAAAAAGAGAGAAAGAGAUGAUGACAGUGUUAAAAAAGAAUGAGGUGGCCUCUGAUCUUGGAAGGAAGAGUGCUCAGACAGUGUCCUGCUGCUAGAAGAAGGGUCUCGUCUGGGGGCUGUGUCUGUCCACGCCAGAUUCCCUGUUGAUGGAUGCUCCAGUCUGGCCCCCAGGAGAGGCUCACACCACACCUGCUUCACUGGAGGGAUCUCCACUGCUCUCUCCCUACCUCCCAGGUCUCCUGAGCCUCCCUUCUAGCUACUGCAGCGGUCCUUUUAUUCACAACAGCAGAGGCGUGUGAGGUUGGCUCUCCCUCAAGCUCUCCUCUAGGACCAUGGGACACCCAGUGGCACUGCCUCAUGUCCUCUCUGGCCCUGGCAGACCUUGUGGCUGGCUCUAUUGUUUCCACACCAUGGAGACCGAGAGCUCCUCAGUGGCAGCCACUUCCCAGCCAGGGACCCAGGGGCACAGUUCCACUGUGUUGGUGGAUUUCCAGACAUUUCCAAGGGAGGGUUCUUUUGCCACCUUCUCGCUCUUGCAGCUUGCUGGGAGUGAGAGCAGCACGUGAGUAGGGGUCUGUGUAGGGUUCACAUCCACCAGCCCCUGACUCUCUGACUCCUCCUAUUCCUCUGUCCAGACAGUGCAUGCCCCAGGCUGGUGGGGAAAAACUCCUCAGCAAGGAAGUUGGUCUCCUGGACUCUGGUUUUUUAAUACAUAAAUGCGAAAAUAUUUUGAUGCCUUUGUUCUCUGCAUUUGUGGUCACAACUCUCCCUCAGGGCAACAAGAGGUAGGAAGAAAACGUGAAGAAGAAAGAAAUCGACAUUUGUCCCUAUUAUGUGAUAUCAUCCUGCCACCUGUGUGUGGCUGUGGCUGUUGGGGGGAAGAUCUGGAAGGAAGCCCAGUGACCCACUCUUGGGGGUUAUUAUAAGAACAGAAGUGAGCUGGAGCAAGGUGCAGGCAGGGAGAGAGAGAGAGACUUCAUUUUUUAUCUUAUAUGUUAGGUUGGUGCUAAAGUAAUUGCGGCUUUGCAAUUACUUUUAAUGGCAAAACCGCAAUUGCUUUUCACCAAUCUAAUACUUCUGCAAUGUCUGAAAUGUUUGAAAUGUUUACAGUAAGUCUAUAAUCAC
rnacentral:lncRNA from 1 species